UUGGAUAUCAAUUAUUGCUUUUAGUUUCUCUUUUUCCUUUCUCUCUCAAAACCCUAGAUCAAAUGAGUGCAAGUUCAUGUUCUUCAUUCUCAUAAUCAAUCAAUAACAUAGAUUGGGUCAUACCAUACUCGAUCCAUCCAUUUUAUUUGGAUAACUGAUUAGGGUUUCUUGGUCUCAUCACAACCUCAAAAUUCUUUUCGAUCCCAUCUGCUUUCUCUCUCUCUUUCUCCCUGGCGAUUCAAAAAGACGAAGGCGAUUCAAGUCGAUUGGUGAAUAUUUCACCAAAUCAAUGAAGAAUCUAACCUCUCACCUGAUCUGCAAGAUGCAGUUUAAAUCAAAUUAAAAGAUAAAUUGGAGGUAUGAACCAGAAAAGUGAACAACAACAAUAGUAAAAAACCCUAUCUUUUGAUUGAAGGAAACAAAAAUACUAGAAAGCCCAGCUUUCACGAUAGUCUAAUAGGAUUCGAUUGUGGCACCUUUUUAGCCAUGUUAUGCCUGCAAUUGGCAGAAAUAUUGAUGGUCCAGGUUCGGGCAUUACAUGUUGGUGUAAAAUAAAGCAGCGGCUCAAGUCUUUUAACUUCGCAUUCUAAAGAUUUGUUUUCAUAAACAUGGUCAAGUGAUUUUUUUUUGUCAAAGUAUAUAUUAAUUAUUAAAAGAAGUUUGCUUUUGUGGAGUUGAUCCGUUGAGAAGGCCGGUAAUGCAGUGGAUUUGGAUGGCAUUAUACUUCAGGUCAAGGAAGAAAGAUAGAUUCGAUGAUAUCCUGGUGGAGAGUCGUAUCUCGAUGUGAUACAAAGGUUGGAGCCGGUUAUUAUCGAGCUUGACGAUUACAUGCACCCGUCAUAGUUGUAUCUCACCAGGUCAGACAACGCAACCACAAAAUGUUACCUUCACAGUUGAGUAAAAAAACCUACAAAGGAAGUGGGUCAAACAGGUUUGUAAAGUGUAUUUUGAUACAUAUAUUUGUUUUACUAGAAUUUUUUAAAUUAUUUUGGGCUUUCAUUAUUUAAAAAAAAAAAAGCAAACCCCUACAUGAGGCUCCGACAUGCGCUACUGCGCGGGGUCGAUGCAGGACUAAGUUGGUUCGAAAUCCUCCAUAUUAACAACAUUUCAGCAAUGGGGUUGAGCCUUGAUAGAGUUCCCACCUUAGUGAUCUUUGCAAAAAGAAAUGUGCACUUCGGGUCGGUAUUGUGUAAGAUGCGUGGGUUAAAUAGAAGAGAAUGCAGAUCAUUUAUUUGUGUUUUGUGCACUGGCACCAGCACUGUGGAAUUUAUUUCAUCUUGGUGUAGAAUCCAUGGUUUGUUCGUGUUUGGAGCUGCAGAUGUAUUAAGCAUUCAUUUGAAGCCUCACAAUUUCAUUCGAAGCUAUGACCAGGUGUUUGAGGGAUAUAAAUGACACCAAUGGAAGAAUUACUAAUAUUUUUAAUAGAUUCGCAAUGUACUGGAUCUUAUGCACAGAGGUGAAGCCUUGCGAUUUGAGGAUGUUCUCUUUUGGGCGUUUGCAACGCGACGUUUCGGCGUGUGCAAUGUGACUGUUUCGGUGUGUGCAAUGCGACUGGUCUUGUGUGUGAUUUGCCAUGCUGUUACCGGCGACUUAGCGACCACCAUGGCGGUGGUGGACCUGUGUAAUGCCUUCUUUCUCUCUCUUUCAACAUUCAUUUGCGCCAACGAUGAUGUCUUUUUCUAUUAUUUGUUUCUCUGAUGUGAUACUGUUGAACCACACAUGAAUUCUAGAGUAGGUCUAACGCACGAACCGGGGGUAGAGCUAGGGUUCCAACGAACGGAUCUCCAGUGUAAUCAUGUAAUCUGUUGUUCAUUUUGCAAUUAAUUUAGGCUAUGCAUGACUGCAUCUGAGAUUCUUCUUUCCCUAUUAAGCCUUUGUUGAUUAAGAGGUUACUCCUACAGGUUUAGUUUUUAGCUUUACUUUUGUCAAUUUCUCCUUUUUUGAUAUUUUAUUGUUUAGAUCAAAUGAGUAUUAUUGAUGUGGCUCAUGAUCAAAUGAGUGGAAAGUGCCUUCAAAGAUGAUGGAGAUAUGAUGUUUAUGAGGAUGACCCGUGGCCGUGAGCCUUUCAAAAAACUAUUUUAAAAACAAUGCAUUUUUUUUCUUUUGUAAACAAAGUAUGAUAAUGUGGUUGUGACUGCAGGAAGUUUAUUUAGUUCAAGAUGUCAAUACAAUGAGUGCGGGAAGUAAGUUUUGCAUCAGGUAGCUUAUAAGAUUAAAAAUAGAGUCAUGGUGUUGAUUAUGUGUUUUCCUUUCGGUUUUGAUGUUCGCUAGGGUUUGGGGGUUCUGUUGUUGAUUUUUAGGGAGUUGAUGCUGACAUCAAGAAAUGGAAGAGAUCGUUAACCCAGAUCCAAGGUGUGCUUGCUGACGCUUCUCAGAAGGAGAUAACAAGUCCAGCUGUGAAACAAUGGCUCAAUGAUCUCCAGCAUCUGGCUUAUGAAAUGAUGUUUGUAUGCUUUAUAGGAGAUGAUGAGAACACAAAUGAUAUGCCAUGUGGCAACCCUACAAGGCAGUUGAACUAUGAAGAGGAAUUGUCUUAUUCAUUGGAGCUGAGUGAUGAGUAUGCAUUUGAUGAUGAAGUUGGCAAGAGGUUAAAUCAGAUGGCUUCUGAACCUUGAUUCACAGCAACUAAGAGAAAUACAUUGGGUCAAAUGAUUGUCCUUUACUUUUCAUUAACAACUCCAAAGGUCGAUUAGUAUUACUGAAUCCAUGGGAUCUGUAGGGUUUAAAUGCUUCACCCGGUCAGCAUCUUGGCUAUUAACAAAGAGGAUAUAGAUGAGUUAGUCUCUUUUUUUUUAAACCAGUUUUGUUCAAGGCUUAUUUAUGUUGGUUAGAUGAUCUAUGUUCAACUUUAUAUAAGUUGCAACAGUUAUAAGGAUUUUGUUCUUGAUCUGUCACCCAAAGUUAUGAUUCGUAUGGAGCAAAGAAUCUGUUUUCUAAAUGAGCAGUUAUCUUUUCUCUA